rnacentral:rRNA from 1 species
CCUANGGGGGGCUGCAGUAACGAAUCUUCCGCAAUGGGCGAAAGCCUGACGGAGCGACGCCGCGUGUGGGAUGAAGAUCUUCGGAUUGUAAACCACUGUCAGGGAUUACCAAGCGAUGGGGACGAAUAGUCCCCGGAGUUGAGGAGUCCCAGAGGAAGCCACGGCUAACUUCGUGCCAGCAGCCGCGGUAAGACGAAGGUGGCAAGCGUUGUUCGGAAUCACUGGGCUUAAAGAGCAUGUAGGCGGCUCAUCAAGCGUCUUGUGAAAUCCCUCGGCUCAACCGAGGAAUUGCUGGGCGGACUGAUUGGGCUUGAGGCAGGUAGGGGCGCGUGGAACUCUUGGUGGAGCGGUGGAAUGCGUAGAUAUCAAGAGGAACGCCAGAGGCGAAAGCGAUGCGCUGGGCCUGUCCUGACGCUGAGAUGCGAAAGCCAGGGGAGCAAACGGGAUUAGAUACCCCUNUANUC